AUUUCUGCUCUCUGCGCUGAGCACAGCGGCACCAGGCUGAGCUAAGCAGGGCCGCCCUGGGCAGGCCUCCCUGGUGGUGCAGGUGAGACCCAGGCUGGGCAAGGCGCAGUUUCAGUUCUCAUUUCAGGUCUCUGAGCUGAGCACAGUGGCACCAGGCUGAGUUAAGUGGGACUGCCCUGGGCAGACCUACCUACUAGAGCAGAAUGGAGCUGCGGCCCUACCAGUGGGAGGUGAUCAUGCCUGCCCUGGAGGGCAAGAAUAUCAUCAUCUGGCUGCCCACGGGUGCCGGGAAGACCCGGGCGGCUGCUUAUGUGGCCAAGAGGCACCUAGAGACUGUGGAUGGAGGCAAGGUGCACCUGGUGACCCAGCAUGGUGAAGAGUUCAGGCGCAUGCUGGAUGGACGCUGGACCAUGACAACCCUGAGUGGGGACAUGGGACCACGUGCUGGCUUUGGCCACCUGGCCCGGUGCCAUGACCUGCUCAUCUGCACGGCAGAGCUUCUGCAGAUGGCACUGACCAGCCCCGAGGAGGAGGAGCACUUGGAGCUCACUGCCUUCUCCCUGAUCGUGGUGGAUGAGUGCCACCACACGCACAAGGACACCGUCUACAACGUCAUCAUGAGCCAGUACCUAGAACUUAAACUCCAGAGGGCACAGCCGCUACCCCAGGUGCUGGGUCUCACAGCCUCCCCAGGCACUGGCGGGGCCUCCAAGCUCAAUGGGGCCAUCAACCACGUCCUGCAGCUCUGUGCCAACUUGGACACGUGGUGCAUCAUGUCACCCCAGAACUACUGCCCCCAGCUGCAGGAGCACAGCCAACAGCCUUGCAAACAGUACAACCUCUGUCACAGGCGCAGCCAGGAUCCGUUUGGAGACUUGCUGAAGAAGCUCAUGGACCAAAUCCACGACCACCUGGAGAUGCCUGAGUUGAGCCGGAACUUUGGGACGCAGAUGUAUGAGCAGCAGGUGGUGAAGUUGAGUGAGGCUGCGGCUUUGGCCGGGCUCCAGGAGCAACGGGUGUAUGCGCUUCACCUGAGGCGCUACAAUGACGCGCUGCUCAUCCAUGACACCGUCCGCGCCGUGGAUGCCUUGGCUGCGCUGCAGGAUUUCUAUCACAGGGAGCACGUCACUAAAACCCAGAUCCUGUGUGCCGAGCGCCGGCUGCUGGCCCUGUUCGAUGACCACAAGAAUGUGCUGGCCCACUUGGCAACUCAUGGCCCAGAGAAUCCAAAACUGGAGAUGCUGGAAAAGAUCCUGCAAAGGCAGUUCAGGAGCUCUGACAGCCCUCGGGGUAUCAUCUUCACCCGCACCCGCCAGAGCGCACACUCCCUCCUGCUCUGGCUCCAGCAGCAGCCAGGCCUGCAGACCGUGGACAUUCGGGCCCAGCUACUGAUUGGGGCUGGGAACAGCAGCCAGAGCACCCACAUGACCCAGAGGGACCAGCAAGAAGUGAUCCGGAAGUUCCGAGAUGGAACCCUGAACCUUCUGGUGGCCACGAGUGUGGCGGAGGAGGGGCUGGACAUCCCACAUUGCAAUGUGGUGGUGCGUUAUGGGCUCCUGACCAAUGAAAUCUCCAUGGUCCAGGCCAGGGGCCGUGCCCGGGCCGAUCAGAGUGUUUACUCGUUUGUAGCAACUGAGGGUAGCCGGGAGCUGAAGCGGGAGCUGAUCAACGAGGCGCUGGAGACGCUGAUGGAGCAGGCAGUGGCUGCUGUGCAGAAAAUGGACCAGGCUGAGUACCAGGCCAAGAUCCGGGAUCUGCAGCAGGCAGCCCUGACCAAGCGGGCGGCCCAGGCAGCCCAGCGGGAGAACCAGCGGCGGCAGUUCCCAGUGGAGCACGUGCAGCUACUCUGCAUCAACUGCAUGGUGGCCGUGGGCCACGGCAGCGACCUGCGGAAGGUGGAGGGCACCCACCAUGUCAACGUGAACCCCAGCUUCUCGUGAGACCUGUGGAAGGGGCUAUCGGGAUGGGGGCGUGGGAUGGGGACCUGGGAAUCCUUCCUAUCCAGACAGUGCUUUGAAGCUUUGGGAAGCUAAAGAGCAUUGUAGCAAGUACUUACUCUGCAUUUUCACAAUAAUCUGGUUAGACAGGUUUUAUCCCUGUCUCCAUUUUACAGGCAAGGAAAUAGAGGCUCAGAGAGGCUACGUGACUUGCCCAAGUUCCCACAGCCACUAUCUGGUUGAGCAAGAACUGGAAUUCAGGAUACUAAGUGUCAAAAGACCACACAUUGACCCUCUGGUCCUACCUACUCCGAAGAUAUCAAGAGAGCUUGGCCAUCCCUGGGCCAUCCUCCAUCCGCUAUCUCCUAGAGAGUAACCUUCCCCCAUCCUCCAUCCAUUCAUCAUGUUACG
rnacentral:sRNA from 1 species